GAGGUGGGACUGGAUGGGGGGAGCAAUGGCUUCUCCUUACAGGAAAGGCUUGUCCAGGUGGGACCCUAGUUGCCACCUGCCCUGGGCCGGUGCCUUUCAGCCGCACCAUCCCUUGCUUGUUCUUGGCGAGUUGCUGCACACCGAGAGAGGCCAGAGAGCUUCUUCAGGCAGCGCACCCAGCUCGCUGCCAUGCAAGUGCUUCUCCACUGACGUGCUCUUGUGACCCGUGAAUUCUCACGGCUGCUUCUCUGUUUGGUACCCGCAGGGUCCGACCGAAGGCACUGUCUGCGGUUCAGAGCCGAGCUGCUUGGCCAAAUCAGUUCUUAAUCCUGUGAUGCUCAUAGCAGGAAUGAGAGCCAGGGCACCCUUCUCCAUGUGAACGUAGUUUCUUCUUCUCCUUCCAGCCUGAAAACCAUGUGGGAAAGUGCUGGCCCUUGCUGGGAAGUCAGGGACAAGCCUUCAUCAAGCUGUCUGUGCCAGUCCUUCCCAGAGCAGUCACCAUGGACCACGUUUCAGGACAACGUUCCCUGGAGACAGUAUCUGCAGAGCUCCAAAGGACAUGGCUGUCUACACGGAACAGCCCAUAAGUAGAAUAGAGGCAAUCCUUUGGCCUCCUUGCAAAAUGCACCCCAGUGACAACAGGGAGCUUUACAUCAACAGCAGCGUGUCACGGGACAGGAACAGAGAGGAGUGAGCAUCACAAGCAGGACAAAACUUCUGAGCCUGUUCCCAGAGAUAGAAAGAGCAGAGGAAUUCCGUGGAGUUCCAUGGUGGAGGGGAAAGAUCCCA